rnacentral:snRNA from 1 species
AUCGCCAGAAGAUCAAUUUCUUAAUCGUACAUGGUUCUUGCCUUUUCCCAGAACCAUCCGGGGAUUGUCUUUGCUAAUGGUGUAUCAAGCUAGUUUUUGGAACUUUUUUUUGCAAAU